rnacentral:rRNA from 1 species
AGAGUUGAUCAUGGCUCGAGACGAACGCUGGCGGCGUGCCUAACACAUGCAAGUCGAGCGAGGAGAUCCUUCGGGAUGAUCCUAGCGGCGGACGGGUGAGUAACACGUGGGCAACCUGCCUCAUAGAGAGGAAUAGCCUUCCGAAAGGGAGAUUAAUACCUCAUAACAUUGCAGUUUCGCAUGGAACAGCAAUUAAAGGAGCAAUCCGCUAUGAGAUGGGCCCGCGGCGCAUUAGCUAGUUGGUGAGGUAACGGCUCACCAAGGCGACGAUGCGUAGCCGACCUGAGAGGGUGAUCGGCCACAUUGGGACUGAGACACGGCCCAGACUCCUACGGGAGGCAGCAGUGGGGAAUAUUGCACAAUGGGGGAAACCCUGAUGCAGCCAACGCCGCGUGAGUGAUGACGGCCUUCGGGUUGUAAAGCUCUGUCUUCAGGGACGAUAAUGACGGUACCUGAGGAGGAAGCCACGGCUAACUACGUGCCAGCAGCUGC